rnacentral:rRNA from 1 species
CUACGAAAGGGGCAAGCGUUGUUCGGAUUUACUGGGCGUAAAGAGAUCGGAGGUGGUUUAUCAAGUCGGAUGUGAAAUCCCGGGGCUCAACCCCGGAACUGCAUUCGAUACUGGUAGACUUGAGUUCGGGAGGGGGAUGCGGAAUUCCGCGUGUAGCAGUGAAAUGCGUAGAUAUGCGGAGGAACACCAGAGGCGAAGGCGGCAUCCUGGACCGAUACUGACACUGAGGAUCGAAAGCGUGGGUAGCAAACAGGAUUAGAAACCCGUGUAGUCC